rnacentral:rRNA from 1 species
GACGAGCCUCACGAACGUUAUUCGGAAUUACUGGGCUUAAAGGGUGCGUAGGCUGUGCGGAAAGUUGGGUGUGAAAUCCCUCGGCUCAACCGAGGAACUGCGCCCAAAACUACCGUACUCGAGGAAGAUAGAGGUGAGCGGAACUUACGGUGGAGCGGAUGAAAUGCGUUGAUAAUCGUAAGGAACACCCGUGGCGAAAGCGGCUCACUGGGUCUUUUCUGACGCUGAUGCACGAAAGCUAGGGGAGCAAACGGG